AACGAACGCUGGCGGCAGGCCUAACACAUGCAAGUCGAACGCCCGUAGCAAUACGGGAGUGGCGGACGGGAGAGAAACGCGUGGGUAUCUACCUAGCAGUACGGAAUAACCGCGGGAAACUGCGGCUAAUACCGUAUACGCCCUACGGGGGAAAGAUUUAUCGCUGCUAGAUGAGCCCGCGUCCGAUUAGCUAGUUGGCGGGGUAAUGGCCCACCAAGGCUAUGAUCGGUAGCUGGUCUGAGAGGACGAUCAGCCUCACUGGGACUGAGACACGGCCCAGACUCCUACGGGAGGCAGCAGUGGGGAAUAUUGGACAAUGGGCGAAAGCCUGAUCCAGCCAUGCCGCGUGUGUGAAGAAGGUCUUCGGAUUGUAAAGCACUUUAAGUUGGGAGGAAGGGCAGUAAGUUAAUACCUUGCUGUUUUGACGUUACCAACAGAAUAAGCACCGGCUAACUUCGUGCCAGCCGCCGCGGUAAAAC
rnacentral:rRNA from 1 species